UAGGGAAUCUUCGGCAAUGGACGAAAGUCUGACCGAGCAACGCCGCGCGAGUGAAGAAGGAUUUCGGAUCGUAAAACUCUGUUGUUAGAGAAGAACAAGGACGUUAGUAACUGAACGUCCCCUGACGGUAUCUAACCAGAAAGCCACGGCUAACUACGUGCCAGCAGCCGCGGUAAUACGUAGGUGGCAAGCGUUGUCCGGAUUUAUUGGGCGUAAAGCGAGCGCAGGCGGUUUCUUAAGUCUGAUGUGAAAGCCCCCGGCUCAACCGGGGAGGGUCAUUGGAAAAUGGGAGACUUGAGUGCAGAGGAGGAGAGUGGAAUUCCAUGUGUAGCGGUGAAAUGCGUAGAUAUAUGGAGGAACACCAGUGGCGAAGGCGGCUCUCUGGUCUGUAACUGACGCUGAGGCUCGAAAGCGUGGGGAGCAAACAGG
rnacentral:rRNA from 1 species